rnacentral:hammerhead_ribozyme from 1 species
GUACUGCUGAAGAGUCCCAAAUUGGGACGAAACAGUUGUCCAGCAC